AUUGAACGCUGGCGGCAGGCCUAACACAUGCAAGUCGAGCGGCUGCACGGAGCUCGCUCUUGGAUUCAGCGGCGGACGGGUGAGUAAUGCCUAGGAACCUGCCUGGUAGUGGGGGAUAACGUCCGGAAACGGGCGCUAAUACCGCAUACGUCCUGAGGGUGAAAGCGGGGGAUCUUCGGACCUCAUGCUACUAGAUGAGCCUAGGUCGGAUUAGCUAGUUGGUGGGGUAAAGGCCUACCAAGGCGACGAUCCGUAACUGGUCUGAGAGGAGGAUCAGUCAAACUGGAACUGGGACACGGUCCGGACUCCUACGGAAGGCGGCAGUGGGAAAUAUUGGACAAGGGGCGAAAGCCUGAUCCGGCCAGGCGGGGUAGGUGAAGAAGGUCUUCGGAUUGUAAAGCACUCUAAGAGGGGAGAAAGGGCAGUAAGUUAAAACCUUGCUGUUUGAACGUAACCAACAAAAAAGGCACCGGCUAACUUCGG
rnacentral:rRNA from 1 species